rnacentral:rRNA from 1 species
CCUACGGGAGGCUGCAGUGGGGAAUAUUGCACAAUGGGGGAAACCCUGAUGCAGCGACGCCGCGUGAGUGAAGAAGUAACUCGUUAUGUAAAGCUCUAUCAGCAGGGGAGAAAAUGACGGUACCUGAGCCAGAAGCCCCGGCUAACUACGUGCCAGCAGCCGCAGUAAUACGUAGGGGGCAAGCGUUAUCCGGAUUUACUGGGUGUAAAGGGAGCGUAGACGGCAGUGCAAGUCUGGAGUGAAAGGCGGGGGCUCAACCCCCGGACUGCUCUGGAAACUGUGCGGCUGGAGUGCAGGAGAGGUAAGUGGAAUUCCUGGUGUAGCGGUGAAAUGCGUAGAUAUUAGGAGGAACACCAGUGGCGAAGGCAGCUUACUGGACUGUAACUGACGUUGAGGCUCGAAAGCGUGGGGAGCGAACAGGAUUAGAUACCCGUGUAGUC